rnacentral:misc_RNA from 1 species
UUGCUCAUAUUUGCAGUGCUUUCCUUUUACACUGGGAUGCUCUUGCGUUUAUGUUUGGAUAGUGAACCAGAGAUUGAAACUUACCCUGACAUUGGCCAAGCUGCAUUUGGCACCAUUGGUCGGAUUGCCAUCUCUAUGAUCUUAUACAUGGAGUUAUAUGCCUGUUGUGUUGAAUAUAUAAUUUUGGAGAGUGAUAACUUGUCCUCAUUAUUUCCGCAUGCACAUUUAAGUUUGGGUGGAUUAGAGCUAAAUUCACACCACUUCUUUGCUAUUCUGACCACCAUUGCUGUUCUUCCAACUGUUUGGCUUCGA